CCCCAGGUGUCCCCAGAUGUCCCCAGGUGUGUCCCCAGGUGUCCCCAGGUGUAUCUCAGGUGUCCCCAGGUGUAUCUCAGGUGUCCCCAGGUGUCCCCAGGUGUGUCCCCAGGUGUCCCCAGGUGUGUCCCCAGGUGUCCCCAGGUGUCCCCCC